rnacentral:rRNA from 1 species
UAGUAACGGCGAGUGAAGCGGGAAGAGCUCAAGCUUAAAAUCUCCGUGCAAGUUUUGUGCGGCGAAUUGUAGUCUAUAGAAGCGUGGUCAGCGUGGGCACUUGGGGCAAGUUCCUUGGAAGAGGACAGCAUGGAGGGUGAUACUCCCGUUCAUCCCUGAGUUGCUUAUGCGUACGACCCGUUUUCUUUGAGUCGCGUUGUUUGGGAAUGCAGCGCAAAGUAGGUGGUAAAUUCCAUCUAAAGCUAAAUAUUGGUGCGAGACCGAUAGCGAACAAGUACCGUGAGGGAAAGAUGAAAAGAACUUUGAAAAGAGAGUUAAAGAGUACCUGAAACUGCUGAAAGGGAACCGAAUCGUUUCCAGUGUCUAUAAUCCGUGGUAUAUUUCAUUGGCGAGUGUGUGCGUGCGUGUGCUAUGGCAGUGGCUUUUUUGGCUGCGCUUGGCGUGUGUGCUGUGUGUGCUUGCUGGUGCCCUGUGCUGCGGUGGGACGUCAAGGUCAGUUCGUAUGCUGCGGGAAAUGGCUGCCGAGGAGGUAGGGCUUACGCUUGCGUUUGUCUGUUAUAUCUUGGUGGACGAGUAGUCGCGGUUGGGACUGAGGUGCCUACAACGUGCUUUUGAGUGGGUUUGUGUCUCCGUGUGCGCCAUGUGCGGAUAGCUUGCUAUGCGUGUGUGGUUGUGUGUGGAUUGAUGCGGGCUUUAACUUGUUGCCGUUC